rnacentral:rRNA from 1 species
UUGCCCUCCCCCCACCGACUGCUAAACGCGAAGAACCUUACCAGCCCUUGACAUGUCAGGACGACUUCCAGAGAUGGAUUUCUUCCCUUCGGGGACCUGAACACAGGUGCUGCAUGGCUGUCGUCAGCUCGUGUCGUGAGGUGUUGGGUUAAGUCCCGCAACGAGCGCAACCCUCGUCCUUAGUUGCCAUCAUUUAGUUGGGCACUCUAAGGAGACUGCCGGUGAUAAGCCGGAGGAAGGCGGGGAUGACGUCAAGUCAUCAUGGCCCUUAUGGGCUGGGCUACACACGUGCUACAAUGGUGGUGACAGAGGGCAGCUAGACGGCGACGUCGUGCUAAUCCCAAAAAGCCAUCUCAGUUCGGAUUGCACUCUGCAACUCGAGUGCAUGAAGUUGGAAUCGCUAGUAAUCGCAGAUCAGCAUGCUGCGGUGAAUACGUUCCCGGGUCUUGUACACACCG